CUUUUACCCACGAAGAAACUCGUGUACUCCAUUUUAAUCAUAUUGGUGAAAACGACCGUCACGAAAGCGACACAAUGAGGUUUCUUUCGUUUCAGAGUUGUUCUCUCUUGGAAUAAGUACAUUAUGGCGUCAAUCUCCUGCAUAUUUUGAUGAUGUUAGCAUAAAAAAUGUAUGUAAAACACAAAUGGAAAUUAAUAGUAUCUAAGGUUAACCAAGUUAUGAAGCCACUCAAAUGGUGGAUCCAUAAGACGAUUAGCAACCUCAAAAUCAAAAACAGUAGGUCCAAUCGGUAGACCUUUGAAACUGAGACCAAUGAUACAAGCUAAUAAAUAAUCCCUUUUCUUUAAAAAAACCUAUACAUGAUAGAAGAAUGAGAGUUUACUUGCGUGGGGGAAGUUGACCAUUUUCUUACUUUGUCCUAAUCCUCGUCACACACAAAAACCAAUGUAGAAUCUGGUUCUGCUUCUCCGGCUCUAUUUGCUCAUCAUGUAACUGAAGUGUGGACAUGUUGAAGGGUCUAGAUUUCCUUGUGCUUUUUACUUUAACUUAAGAAGGAUCAUAACCUUAAAUUUAUCUUGGGACAGAUCCUUCAAUUCUUGUGUACUCAAUCGAAAAUCAAAAUCAUUAGUUUCUAUUUCAAUCUUUUUCUCAUCCUAUUCAUUAAAAACAGAAAAAACAUAUAAGCAACAAGAACCAUAUAACAUGCAAUCAUAACACCAACAAAAUAUUACAUUCACAUUGUUUCCAUUACACAAACAUUCAAGCCUAUUACACAUCCCGUACAUAAUACACAAACCUAUUACACAAACUUUUCCCAUUGCAUAAUACAAUUCUAAAACUGUUACAUAUUAUUACACAAUGAAAAUGAGAAGUUCCAAGUACAGCCUAGCUCCAGUAGCCUAACUCAAGCAUCCUAGUUCCAAAUACAUCAAGUUCUACACUUUCUCGUAGGUAGUAAAUUUUUCUUUGCUGGAGCUUGAUCGACUUUUUUCUUUGCUGGAGCUUGAUCAGCUUUUCUCUUAUGUGGAGCUUGUUCGACUUUGCUAGGAUCACUUGCUUCACCACUCAAAGUGAAAGCUUCCCUGAGCUGUGAAACCUCAUUCUCCAUCUUUCCUCUCCUCUUUGUAAAACCAUUCUCCAUCUUCUCCAUUUGCGUACUGAGUCUAUCCCCAAGGAAGUGACAGAUGUGUAUAUGAGACCCUCAAUGAAACUCGGAGUUUCAAGAUCAAGAGUCGUUUAUUUUUGCUGCAGGUCGCUGACAUAUCAACUUCUUCUUUCUUGUCUUGGCUCUUUCAUCAUGAAUCUUUCUCUUGCCUUUUCCUGCAACACUAACCGAAGAGGACUCCACGUCUGCUACAACAUCAGUAUCAUCAACAAUCCUCAUUAGCUUCUGACUCUAUAUCCUCUUUUUCGGCUUCCUCCAUUUCAGUUUCUUCUUCUAUAACUUUCCAUUCUGUCUUGCUCCAAUCAUUCGGUUUGGCUCUAAUUUAUUUGGUUUUGGCUCCAAUUGUUUUACAUUUGCGGUUAUUAUUAAAAUGCAGCCACGGUUUGCUACGGUUUUUUCGUGGCUUUUCUGAAAGGGUUUUAAUAUCGGUUUUCCCCUUUCUUCUCAACAUUUAGACAAAAACACAAACUCUCUCGCGAGUCGCCACCGACGAAAACACUCGUCCUCUCCGAUUCGAAGCCUCUCCAUCUCCGAUUUGAAGCCUCACCGUCUCCGAUUCCAAGCCGCGACGGCUCUCGUUCCCUUCUCACAUCUCUCAAGAGUACCUGGGACAACUGCUGCGCCUCCUCCUAUGCCUCCUGGUGCUACUGGACCGGCUUUAAUUUGAACCAUGCUGUUUCCUCUUCUCGUUCCAAUAGCUACUCGUAAAUGACCUUCAAUGCCAUGCUCAAUUCACCUGCUAGGCUAUCACAGCCCCAUCUCCAUCCAAAUAAAAUCAACGGAGCUUUACGGUUUUGUAUUGACCCAUCUGUCAACUCUUUCAUCCGAGCAACUUGGCAAGUAUACUACAUGGGGCCUUGGAGAGUUGGAGGAAGGUUCCUGAUGAAAGGAGGGAAUCAUGGUGGCAAAAGUUUAUGGUAAGCGACUAGUGUACAUUGUAUAUGCCGCUUACAUGUUUUUAAAUCACUUACUGUUUUGAGCAAAAUUUCUAUUGGGACUCUGAGUUUAAUGACUUGGUCUACGGUCUAUGGAAGAAAGAAACAUGGACAACCAAUGGUGAAAGGAUAAGCAAGAAGAAGAGGCAACACAAGAAGCCAAAUUAUAUCAAUGAUGCUGACUGGACACUCCUGCUGGAGAAUUGGCGACCAAUGCAACUAAAAAAAAGAGCAAAAAAGGCUGCAAAAUCUCGCAAGUCUGAUACUGUGGGUAAAGGUUGCCACAAGCAUAAUGUAGGACCUAGGUCUUUUGCAAUGAUAGAGUAUAACAUGGUAUCUUUCCAUGUCUAUACUUUUAAAUGUUGUUCUUUUUCUAAUCUGUUGUAAAAUAUGUUACUUUUUUGCAGAUGGUUGCGUCUGGUACUAAUGAACGGCCAUCAUACACUGACCUAUUCAGGGCGACACACACCCGACCAGAUGGGACUUUUUUGGACUAUCGUGCUGAAGAGCUGGUUACUCAAGCAGAGAUGGAAGCCACACAGCUCUCUAACACUGAAGGAUCACCCUGGAGUCCAAGUGCAUCAUCUACUCCUUCUCGCCUCAAGUUAAACAAAGCUUAUCUGAAGAAUGCUAAGGGUAAGAGGGGGGCAUGUUUACGGACUGGGCAGUGCCCAAUACAGGGAGUAUGCAUCUUCUUCACGCGUCCCUAAUGGUCUUGCCCGCAACCUGGAGCUGGAGAUGCGUGUGGGCGGUCUUGAGACAAGCCUCCAAAGUGUCACUGCUGAUGUUACUGAGGUGAAGCAGAACGUGUCUGAGAUGAAGCAGGACUUGGCAGCAACAAGAGAUGCAAUCAAUCAGCUCCUCCAAACGCUUCGGCCCCAACAAGCACCUACUGGACAGAAUUCUGCUCAGCCUCAAGCCCCAACUACUCAGCCUUGACCUGUCAAUGGCAUUUAGAAGUAGAUUGUUCAUCCUGUCUUCUCUUUUGUCACAAGGUUCAUCAAACUCUAGCUGGUCUUUUGGUAGAGUCUUCUUAGACUCUUUAACUAUGUCUUUUGUAGAGUCUUCUUAAACUCUUUAAAACUCUUCUACCUUGUAUAAUUAUCUAAGUUUUAGUAAUGUUGAACCUACUCUUUUAUAUAUAUGUAACUUCUG